UACUUUCUGACCUCCUGCUCACUAGUA
rnacentral:piRNA from 1 species